rnacentral:rRNA from 1 species
CAGUAGCCGCGGUAAUACGUAGGUGGCAAGCGUUGUCCGGAAUUAUUGGGCGUAAAGGGCUCGCAGGCGGUUUCUUAAGUCUGAUGUGAAAGCCCCCGGCUCAACCGGGGAGGGUCAUUGGAAGCUGGGAAACUUGGGUGCAGAAGAGGAGAGUGGAAUUCCACGUGUAGCGGUGAAAUGCGUAGAGAUGUGGAGGAACACCAGUGGCGAAGGCGACUCUCUGGUCUGUAACUGACGCUGAGGAGCGAAAGCGUGGGGAGCGAACAGGAUUAGAUACCCCAGUAGUCCCUGUCUCUUAUAC